AAGACGCUACUUUCAGGGAUCAUUUCUAUAGUUUGUUACUAGAGCAGUUAAAAUUGAUGGUGAGGAGAGUGUAUGAGGCCUGGUGGCAU
rnacentral:snoRNA from 1 species